GAAACAGGUGCUAAUACCGCAUAACCAUAGUUACCGCAUGGUAACUAUGUAAAAGGUGGCUAUGCUACCGCUUUUGGAUGGGCCCGCGGCGCAUUAGCUAGUUGGUGGGGUAAAGGCUUACCAAGGCAAUGAUGCGUAGCCGAACUGAGAGGUUGAUCGGCCACAUUGGGACUGAGACACGGCCCGAACUCCUACGGGAGGCAGCAGUAGGGAAUCUUCCACAAUGGGCGAAAGCCUGAUGGAGCAACGCCGCGUGGGUGAAGAAGGUCUUCGGAUCGUAAAACCCUGUUGUUAGAGAAGAAAGUGCGUGAGAGUAACUGUUCACGUUUCGACGGUAUCUAACCAGAAAGCCACGGCUAACUACGUGCCAGCAGCCGCGGUAAUACGUAGGUGGCAAGCGUUAUCCGGAUUUAUUGGGCGUAAAGGGAACGCAGGCGGUCUUUUAAGUCUGAUGUGAAAGCCUUCGGCUUAACCGGAGUAGUGCAUUGGAAACUGGGAGACUUGAGUGCAGAAGAGGAGAGUGGAACUCCAUGUGUAGCGGUGAAAUGCGUAGAUAUAUGGAAGAACACCAGUGGCGAAAGCGGCUCUCUGGUCUGUAACUGACGCUGAGGUUCGAAAGCGUGGGUAGCAAACAGGAUUAGAUACCCUGGUAGUCC
rnacentral:rRNA from 1 species